AUCUGCAUAGUAUAGUGAGUAUUCACAGAUAAGACCUGGCUGAUUGACUGAUUUCUCGAAGCCUGAAAUAUAUCCAAAAAAUACAAGACAAAUAGACUCCAAAAAUCAAGCUAUAUAAGGACCGGUCAAAAGACCUGGGGAUAUUUUGAUUGGAGAAGAUCUGGGUGUGGGAUGAAAAGCAAAGACAUACUUGAAGAACUGUGAUGAGGAAAACCUUGUUCUGCAUGGCUUUCCACAGGAGGGCCCAUUUGCCCAACUAAGGAGUGAUUCACACCAGAGCCUUUCCAGACAGGAGGGUUUCAUGUGGGAGAGAGAACAAGGGGGCCCCAGGGCCUGAAGUGUGUGAUGUCUGUCCGCAGGUGGGUGUAAAGACAAACUUGGCCAACUUUAUGGUUUUUCUUGGACUGUCCUGGACCCGGGCCCUAUCGAUGCCCUCACCUCGCUAAAGGAGCUCAUGCUGGACCAAUCUUCCUAGGAAGUGAUCAUGUCACUCAAAACCUACAGUGGUGCCCCACUGCCUUCUAGAUCAAAUCUGAACUUAACCUGACCUACAAUAGGUCUCCCUGAACCUUCUCCCCGUUAUUCCCCUCUGCAACACUUUUCUACUCCAGCUGGGCUGUGGCAAUUUCUUCCCAUCAAUCCCUUGAAAACCUCAUCCAAAAAGACUUAACCAGUUUAUUGAUCACUUCUCAAUUUGUAUUCAACAAAAGUCUAUGUGGUUGGAAUCA